rnacentral:rRNA from 1 species
GUAGUCUGCAACCCGACUACAUGAAGCUGGAAUCGCUAGUAAUCGCGGAUCAGAAUGCCGCGGUGAAUACGUUCCCGGGUCUUGUACACACCGCCCGUCACACCAUGGGAGUCGGAAAUGCCCGAAGUCUGUGACCUAACCGUAAGGAAGGAGCAGCCGAAGGCAGGUCGGAUGACUGGGGUGAAGUCGUAACAAGGUACC